rnacentral:rRNA from 1 species
UGAGCAAUCUGCCCUUCUCUUCGGAAUAAGAGUGGGAAACCGCGUCUAAUGCCGAAUACGACCUCCUUUCGCAUGAUCGGAGGUGGAAAGCUCCGGCGGAGAAGGAUGAGCUCGCGGCCUAUCAGCUAGUUGGUGUGGGUAACGCCCACCAAGGCGACGACGGGUAGCCGGCCUGAGAGGGUGACCGGCCACACGUGGGACUGAGACACGGCCCAGACCUCCGUACGGGGAGCAGCAGGG